rnacentral:rRNA from 1 species
CCUACGGGCGGCAGCAGUGAGGAAUAUUGGUCAAUGGUCGGGAGACUGAACCAGCCAAGCCGCGUGAGGGAGGAAGGUACAGAGUAUCGUAAACCUCUUUUGUCAGGGAACAAAGGCGGGACGUGUCCCCGGAUGAGUGUACCUGAAGAAAAAGCAUCGGCUAACUCCGUGCCAGCGGCCGCGGUAAUACGGGGGGUGCGAGUGUUAGCCGGUUUUAUGUGUUUUAAAGGGGGCGCAGGCGGCCUGUUAAGGCAGCGGUCAAAACCCGGGGAUCAACCCCGGCCCGCCGUUGAAACUGGCAGUCUCGAGUUGGAGAGAAGUAUGCGGAAUGCGCGGUGUAGCGGUGAAAUGCAUAGAUAUCGCGCAGAACUCCGAUUGCGAAGGCAGCAUGCCGGCUCCACACUGACGCUGAGGCACGAAAGCGUGGGUAUCGAACAGGAUUAGAUACCCUAGUAGUC